UUAUUGAAAUGUAGUUAACUGCUCGCCUUACCUGCAUUACAAUAGCUUGGAUUAGAUUGUUUGAAAAGUUGCAGUGUAGACCAUAUGUAACUGUUUUAACAAGCAACUUCUUGAUUAAAUAAGCUUUUAAUAAGUAAGUUAAGACCUAACAUUAGCUGUACCUGUAACUUUAUUUUAGGUAAUACUUGAAGAAAGUUUUUCUCUGCAACAUAUCCUUGCCUCAUGUACAGAGCACCCCUGCAUGUCUUGAAAUGCAUGUGACUUUUAGCGCUUUAACUAACGAUAUAUGUGCAGAAGCCAAGAUUCCACCUGAUGCAACAUUGAUUUUUGAGAUUGAACUUUAUGCUGUGACCAAAGGACCGCGGAGUGUUGAAACAUUUAAACAGAUAGAUGCAGACAAUGACAGGCGACUUUCUAAAACUGAGGUAAUGCAAACAAAUUUAAUUUGUACCAUCUAAUGUUUUCAUUAUGAUUUAAAUGCAUCUGUGUUGCAACUAUUAUUCUUAAUCCUAGUUAGCAUGGGCUCCGAUCACUUGAGACUCAUCCAACUCAACUGCCUUUCUUCCUUCAAGAAUGGUCAUUAAAAUCCCAAAUUACUCAUCUUUACAAGGCUCUCUAGUUUCUAACCUUUAGGAGUAGAUCUCUUUUUUAGCAGCACUGUAAGAAUUUUUAACAGGACAAAUAAUUCCCACCUCAGAGGGCUGUGGGAAUUAGGUGAGAUUAUGAGAAGAUCUAGCAAGAAUUUGAAUUGGGUAGGCUAGAAAGGCAGCAAACAGAAGCCCAGAGUUCAGCUACCUAGCUUCUGUAUCUUGGCCUUACAUAUGAAUUGAUCUUCAUAUAGAUCAUGUAAUAGUAAAAAAUAAAUAACACAUUUUCACACUUUCUCAGUACCAGGCCCUAUAAUUAACAAAUAAGUAUAUGAACUUAUCUAAUCUUCAUGAUAAUUUAUUGGGUAAGUGGUAUUAUCAUCUUCACCUUAUAGAUGGGGAAAAUGAUGCUCAGACAGAUUGAGUAACCAGCAAAUUCACAUAGCUAUAAGUGGCAAAACCAGAAUUGUAACCUGGGCACUCUGGCUCCAGUAUUGUGUUCCUAACCUUGGGCACACCCUGCCUCCUUGAGGGAAUUUCCAUCAUGAAUGUUCAGAGCUAAUGCUUGUUUUAUUGAAAUCUAGUGCCUUACUUAGUUCCACAGUCUGUGUUCUUGCUUAAAAUGAGUGGCCCAGUUGUCUCCCUUCUUCUUGUUUGGAGACAGUUCAAGAUGCAUAAGACUAACAUCUAAGUAUGCACGGCAUACUGGCUGGCAGCUGGGUCUCUGACUUCAAGUGUUAAGAGUAAGUCCUUUUUAUUUUUUUUCUCUCCCUCUCCAAUCCUCUUCCCGCCCAAAUAUACUUCCUCCUCAGGACUUAGUACAGCCUUUCCCCUGAGACCCUUGUUGGUCAGCACUGGAAGAGCAGGAAGGAAAUCCGCCCUAUGCCUUGAGAAGAAGGGCAGUGAGAGGGGAACUGUUCCAAAUGUGCACUUCUCUGUUGGCUGCUUAACACCCUCUUAGCAUGAAUAGCAUCUGCAGGUGGAUUCACAUAACACCAAGAGCUCAACCAGUACACAUAGUCCAUUCAUUAUCACAGGCACACAAACAGGCACAUUCUACAAUAUGAAUUCUCCCAGACAUUCAGAGAUCUUUAGUUCUUUUGUAGAAAG
rnacentral:lncRNA from 1 species